rnacentral:rRNA from 1 species
CCUACGGGAGGCAGCAGUGAGGAAUAUUGGUCAAUGGACGCAAGUCUGAACCAGCCAUGCCGCGUGCAGGAAGACGGCUCUAUGAGUUGUAAACUGCUUUUAUACGGGGAUAAACGCAGAUACGCGUAUCUGUCUGAAAGUAUCUUACGAAUAAGGAUCGGCUAACUCCGUGCCAGCAGCCGCGGUAAUACGGAGGAUUCAAGCGUUAUCCGGAUUUAUUGGGUUUAAAGGGUGCGUAGGCGGUCUGUUAAGUUAGUGGUGAAAGUCCGAGGCUCAACUUCGGAAUUGCAAUUGAUACUGGCAGGCUUGAGAGUAGUAGCGGUAGGCGGAAUGUAUGGUGUAGCGGUGAAAUGCUUAGAGAUCAUAAAGAACACCGAUUGCGAAGGCAGCCUACCAAGCUGCCUCUGACGUUGAGGCACGAAAGCGUGGGGAGCAAACAGGAUUAGAUACCCGGGUAGUC